UACGGGGGGAGCAAGCGUUGUUCGGAUUUACUGGGCGUAAAGGGCGCGUAGGCGGUCAGCACAAGUCAGUUGUGAAAUCUCCGGGCUUAACUCGGAAAGGUCAACUGAUACUGUGCGACUAGAGUGCAGAAGGGGCAACUGGAAUUCUCGGUGUAGCGGUGAAAUGCGUAGAUAUCGAGAGGAACACCUGCGGCGAAGGCGGGUUGCUGGGCUGACACUGACGCUGAGACGCGAAAGCGUGGGGAGCGAACCGG
rnacentral:rRNA from 1 species